rnacentral:rRNA from 1 species
AACGUAGGAGACAAACGUUAUCCGGAGUUACUGGGCGUAAAGGGCGUGUAGGCGGUUUGUUAAGUCUGGCGUGAAAGCUCUCGGCUAAACCGGGAGAGGUCGUUGGAUACUGGCAAACUAGAGGACGGUAGAGGCGUGUGGAAUUCCGGGUGUAGUGGUGAAAUGCGUAGAGAUCGGGAGGAACACCGGUGGCGAAGGCGGGUCUCUGGGCAAUUCCUGACGCUGAGGCGCGAAAGCGUGGGGAGCAAACGGG